ACUCAGAUCUGCUCGCUGUGUGAGACCCGAAAGUACAAGUCAGGCUCACUGCACCUGCGUAUGGGGAAGUCAAAAAAACCUGUUCCAAACUUCUGAGACACAACCUUUCCUUAUACUGAAGAAUUGUAUAAAAUUUAUUUUCGCCAAGAAGUUCAGAAACUUUAACAAGGCUGAUGUGAUGAAGUGUUGGAUCUUUCUUUGAAACUCAACAAAGAAGGAGAAUUUGAGGGAGGCUGAACUCAGAGAAGAGAGGUGGUAAAAUAGAGAGAAAGGUGUCUGGAGAGAUCAGCUACACGGUAGCCAGCUGAGACCAGUAGAGGACAAAGAUCAUUAUGGAUAUUCCCUGCAGCAGGAAGCAGCAAAUGAACUGUCAAGCCAGUGAAGUCUGACACCCAAUUAUAAGUUGUCAAACAUAUACAUAGUGUCUUUCCAUCAUACCUACAUUUGUUAACAUUAUUUUUAUUGACCUUCUGUUUUGUGUCAAGCACUGAUAUGCUAAACCCUUCAGAGUAAGUAUGGUGCCUUCAUGACCUGACUAUGUGAUUGCAGUCAGUGUUUGGAGGAAUGAGGGAGAUAAGGGAGAAGUAGGGCUGUGUGUAUUCACAUUUUGGGGCACAGCAGUCCCCAGACAAGCUGGGGACGUAUGGUGAGCUAGUGACGAGGUGGCUGGAAAGCCUAGAUGAGCAGCUAGAAACAAGAGUGGAGAGAGACACAGUGGACUGG